GAUUAUCCUGAUCAAAAUUUUACUAAAUUGAAAUACACUGAUGCAUUAACUCCUACUUAUUUGGAGAGAUCAAUUCCAUCUGGACUCACACACCGACUUGAUAAGUACUUGACUGCAUCCAAAAAUUUUUCAUCACUGAAUUAAAAAUUUAAAUAGUCUGACAUCAAAGUACAGUGAGUUACUUACAAGUCAUCAUGGUGAUCU
rnacentral:lncRNA from 1 species